rnacentral:lncRNA from 1 species
UCUGGCGGUGUAUCAGAAUUUCAGCAGGCAGCUGCAGUAGUACUGUUUAGUUAAUCAUAUACUGCCUUGCCAGAUACAUAUAUAUAUACACACACAUAUAAAUAGAUAUAUGGUGGUUUCUAUCUAUACUUAAAAGGAGAAUUUGUGAAUUCUAUUUCUAAAGAUUGACCAUUCUAUAAAAAAAAUAGGAAAACAACUUCCCACAAUUAGAUUUUGAAACAAAAAACCACCAGAUAAAAUUACAGUAUCGCUAUUCUUUUUUUUAUUUCUAU